UUUCCGUAGGUGAACCUGCGGAAGGAUCAUUCCUAAUAAGUGCUUAUGGCACUCCUUAAAUCCAUAGCCCCAUUUUGUGCAAUUUCAGCCGUUUUCUUUAUGAAAGCGGCCAAGCGCCAACUUAUUUUUCAUCUGUCUCCCUGACAGCUAUUCUGAAUAUACAAUUCAAAUACAACUUUCAACAACGGAUCUCUUGGCUCUC
rnacentral:misc_RNA from 1 species